UGCUUAACACAUGCAAGUCGAACGAGGUCUUCGGAACCUAGUGGCGGACGGGUGAGUAACACGUGAGAAUCUGGCUUCAGGACGGGGACAACAAGGGGAAACCCUUGCUAAUACCGGAUAGGCCGAAAGGUGAAAGAUUUAUCGCCUGAAGAAUUAGUGCUUAGUUGGAAGGGUUAAGAGACCCACCAGCAUCGAUCAGUAGCAGGUUCGAGAAGAUGAUCAGCAACAUCUGGGACUGAGAACACGACCAGACUUCUACUGGAGGCAGGCAGUGGGGAAUUUUCGCAAUUGGCGCAAGCCUGACGGAGCAUACGCGUGCGGGAGGAAGUCCUUGGGUCGUAAACCGCUUUUGUUAGGAAGAAAAUUUGACGGUACCUUAACGAAUAAGCCUCGGCUAACUCCGUGCCAGCAGCCGCGGUAAGACGGAGGAGGCAAGCGUUAUCCGGGAAUUAUUGGGCGUAAAGCGUCCGCAGGUGGCAUCUCAAGUCUGCUGUCAAAGCCCAGGGCUCAACUCUGGAUCGGCAGUGGAAACUGAGACGCUAGAGUACGGUAGGGGCAGAGGGAAUUCCCAGUGUAGCGGUGAAAUGCGUAGAUAUUGGGAAGAACACCAGUAGCGAAAGCGCUCUGCAGGGCCGUAACCGACACUCAUGGACGAAAGCUAGGGGAGCGAAAGGGAUUAGAUACCCCUGUAGUCCUAGCCGUAAACGAUGGACACUAGGCGUUGCGCGUAUCGACCCGUGCAGUGCCGUAGCCAACGCGUUAAGUGUCCCGCCUGGGGAAUACGCUCGCAAGAGUGAAACUCAAAGGAAUUGACGG
rnacentral:rRNA from 1 species